AACGAACGCUGGCGGCAUGCCUAACACAUGCAAGUCGAACGAGACCUUCGGGUCUAGUGGCGCACGGGUGCGUAACGCGUGGGAACCUGCCCUUAGGUUCGGAAUAACUUCCCGAAAGGGGUGCUAAUACCGGAUAAUGUCUUCGGACCAAAGAUUUAUCGCCUUUGGAUGGGCCCGCGUUGGAUUAGCUAGUUGGUAGGGUAAAAGCCUACCAAGGCGACGAUCCAUAGCUGGUCUGAGAGGAUGAUCAGCCACACUGGGACUGAGACACGGCCCAGACCCCUACGGGAGGCAGCAGUGGGGAAUAUUGGACAAUGGGCGAAAGCCUGAUCCAGCAAUGCCGCGUGAGUGAUGAAGGCCUUAGGGUUGUAAAGCUCUUUUACCCGGGAUGAUAAUGACAGUACCGGGAGAAUAAGCUCCGGCUAACUCCGUG
rnacentral:rRNA from 1 species